rnacentral:tRNA from 1 species
GGAGGGUAUAGCUCAGUGGUAGAGCACAUGUUUGGCAUGCAUGAGGUCCUGGGUUCAAUCCCCAGUACCUCCA